UACGUAGGGUGCAAGCGUUAAUCGGAAUUACUGGGCGUAAAGCGUGCGCAGGCGGUUGUGUAAGACAGAUGUGAAAUCCCCGGGCUCAACCUGGGAACUGCAUUUGUGACUGCACGGCUCGAGUGCGGCAGAGGGGGAUGGAAUUCCGCGUGUAGCAGUGAAAUGCGUAGAUAUGCGGAGGAACACCGAUGGCGAAGGCAAUCCCCUGGGCCUGCACUGACGCUCAUGCACGAAAGCCGUGGGGAGCAAACAGG
rnacentral:rRNA from 1 species